GGCUCUGAGCUGGUGAUGCAAGCAGUUUUUUUCUAUUUCUGCUCUUGGUUUGGAUUGAUCUCACUGCUUCAUAGUGAGAUCAAUCCAAACCAAGAGCAGAAAUAGAAAAACUGCUUGCAUCUCUGAGGUAAGCCA